GCUUUCCUGAGGUGCAGGUUCCUCCUCCCACUCUGCACCUCGGAUCCGACCGGUCCUCCUCCUCCCGGACCGGUCUUCUGUAAGAAGCGCUCGCCGAAUCCUCCUCCCAUCGGCGAGCGCUUUUU
rnacentral:sRNA from 1 species